ACCAGGCUGUGGGGUGGAGCGUGCGCAGUAGGCCGAUGCGGCGGGCGUGCCGGUUGUCCAGCGUGCGAAGCCGGAGACACAGGCCCUGUCGCCCGUUUUAGUAAUAAGUGACAUUUGUGCUGUGUUUGCUGGUGCCCGGAGCUGUGAUGCUGUGCUCUGCAGAGAUGCUAAUUGGCUGCAAGCUCAAGAAAGGAGGACCCAGAGGAAGUUCCCAUUAUAAACAAGCCCCAUCACUGGCUGUGGACAUCUUUCACAACAAGAGGAGAUAACUGUGGGCCACUGGCCAAACC